CAUUGAAACAUCGGUUCCCAUAAGAUCACCGAAGUUAAGGAACGCCGAGCCUCGUCAGUACGUAGAUGGGUGACUCCUUGAGAAUACCAGGUGCUGUAAG